rnacentral:rRNA from 1 species
CCGUAACUAUAACGGUCCUAAGGUAGCGAAAUUCCUUGUCGGGUAAGUUCCGACCCGCACGAAAGGCGUAAUGAUUUGAGCGCUGUCUCAACAAUGCACCCGGUGAAAUUGAAAUACCAGUGAAGAUGCUGGUUACCUGCGCCAGGACGGAAAGACCCCAUGGAGCUUUACUCCAGCUUGAUACUGGGAUUCGGUAUUGCAUGUACAGGAUAGGUGGGAGACUGAGAACUGAUGACGCCAGUUGUCAGGGAGUCACUGUUGGGAUACCACCCUUGUAGUAUUGGAUUUCUAACCAGCAGCCGUGAACCGGCUGGGGGACAAUGUCAGGUGGGGAGUUUGACUGGGGCGGUCGCCUCCGAAAGGGUAUCGGAGGCGCUCAAAGGUUCCCUCAGAAUGGUUGGAAACCAUUCGAAGAGUGCAAAGGCAGAAGGGAGCUUGACUGCGACACCGACGGGUGGAGCAGGUACGAAAGUAGGACUUAGUGAUCCGGUGGUAUAAAGUGGGAUUGCCAUCGCUCAACGGAUAAAAGCUACCCUGGGGAUAACAGGCUUAUCACUCCCAAGAGUUCACAUCGACGGAGUGGUUUGGCACCUCGAUGUCGGCUCAUCGCAUCCUGGGGCUGAAGUAGGUCCCAAGGGUUGGGCUGUUCGCCCAUUAAAGCGGUACGCGAGCUGGGUUCAGAACGUCGUGAGACAGUUCGGUCCCUAUCCGGCGCAGGCGGAGGAUAUUUGAGAGGAGCUGUCCUUAGUACGAGAGGACCGGGAUGGACGGACCGCUGGUGUACCGGUUGAGCUGCUAAGCUCAUGGCCGGGUAGCCAAGUCUGGCAGGGAUAAACGCUGAAGGCAUCUAAGCGUGAAGCCCCCCUCAAGAUGAGAUAUCCCAUAACGUCAAGUUAGUAAGACCCCUUGAAGACGACGAGGUAGAUAGGGCAGAGGUGGAAGUGCAGUAAUGUAUGGAGCUGACUGUUACUAAUCGGUCGAGGGCUUAUCCA